rnacentral:tRNA from 1 species
UGCCCAAACCCGGGAUCUAACCAUGGACCUUUAGAUAUCAGUCUAACGCUCUCCCAACUGAGCUAUUUCGGC